UCUCUGGUAGUAUAUCAGUUAGUACACGCGCCUGUCAUAGCCGUACUGUUACGCGCGAAAGCUGGGUUCGACUCCCAGCCAGAGAG